rnacentral:rRNA from 1 species
AUGACAAGUUUCAAACUAGUAAAGUAUAUCCCUAGGAUAAAGAAGAAGAAAAGUGGGCUAAGGGAACUCGCAAGGAAAGUUCCAACCGAUCGUCUACUUAAGUUCGAGAGAGUUUUCAAAGGACAAAACAUAUCCCUAUGUCUGCUUUCAAAGCACAAAGAGUUCUUGACGAGAUUCGCUGGCGUUACUAUGAGGAAACUGUUAUGA